rnacentral:lncRNA from 1 species
GAGGGAGGAGUGUGUUUCCUGGCGGAGCGAUAUUUGUUUACAGGAUGAGAUCUAUACUGUAAGUAAAGUAGGACCGAGCAAAGGCAGUUCUGUAAUAAAUUAGUUUAAAUUGCAUCAUCGACGCCCCCCCAAAAGGGAAAACUUGUGCCCAGUCCGGCCAGGUCUGUGCUCCCGGAUCCUGCAUGCACUUGUUGCAGAUUUACACCAGAAGCCAGCUCAGGAAGACAUUAGAAAGUUGAUCUCAAAAAUACAACAGUUGGGAAUUGCAUCAUGAGCAAUGUACACAUCUGCAGACCUGUGAUGUGAGAGCUGUGAAAGAGACAUUAACCCUUAGCUAUCUGUUUAUGACUGAUGUGUCCUGGAUGGAAGCUGGAGGCAUGUAGGUAAG